GUCCCUGUCGAUUAGUGGUCAAAUCAUCACGUUGUGGAUAUCAUAGAACCGUGAAGCCGGGAGCUCGAAUCUCCCCAGGGACA